UAGGGAAUAUUGCGCAAUGGGGGAAACCCUGACGCAGCGACGCCGCGUGAGUGAUGAAGGCCUUCGGGUCGUAAAGCUCUGUUGCAGGGGAAUAAGAAAGUGAAUGUACCCUGUGAGGAAGGUCCGGCUAACUACGUGCCAGCAGCCGCGGUAAUACGUAGGGACCAAGCGUUGUUCGGAUUUACUGGGCGUAAAGGGCGCGUAGGCGGUGCGGUAAGUCACUUGUGAAAUCUCCGAGCUUAACUCGGAACGGCCAAGUGAUACUGCAGUACUAGAGUGCGGAAGGGGCAAUCGGAAUUCUUGGUGUAGCGGUGAAAUGCGUAGAUAUCAAGAGGAACACCUGAGGUGAAGACGGGUUGCUGGGCUGACACUGACGCUGAGGCGCGAAAGCCAGGGGAGCAAACGGGAUUAGAUACCCGCGUAGUCCCUGAGCGGGCUGGCAAGGCGCAU
rnacentral:rRNA from 1 species